rnacentral:rRNA from 1 species
AUUCUAGAGUUUGAUCAUGGCUCAGAUUGAACGCUGGCGGCAGGCCUAACACAUGCAAGUCGAACGGUAGCACAGAGAGCUUGCUCUCGGGUGACGAGUGGCGGACGGGUGAGUAAUGUCUGGGAAACUGCCUGAUGGAGGGGGAUAACUACUGGAAACGGUAGCUAAUACCGCAUAACGUCGCAAGACCAAAGAGGGGGACCUUCGGGCCUCUUGCCAUCAGAUGUGCCCAGAUGGGAUUAGCUAGUAGGUGGGGUAACGGCUCACCUAGGCGACGAUCCCUAGCUGGUCUGAGAGGAUGACCAGCCACACUGGAACUGAGACACGGUCCAGACUCCUACGGGAGGCAGCAGUGGGGAAUAUUGCACAAUGGGCGCAAGCCUGAUGCAGCCAUGCCGCGUGUAUGAAGAAGGCCUUCGGGUUGUAAAGUACUUUCAGCGGGGAGGAAGGCGAUAAGGUUAAUAACCUUGUCGAUUGACGUUACCCGCAGAAGAAGCACCGGCUAACUCCGUGCCAGCAGCCGCGGUAAUACGGAGGGUGCAA